GGAUCGGGAGGCGGCCUGUGGGAGGGCUGCCAGGUAUGGAUCUGAACCCCCAUUUCGAACGGUGCGCGAGCCGAAGCCCGGCGGCUACGCGC
rfam:Maritimibacter sp. HL-12 genome assembly, contig: B139DRAFT_scaffold00001.1